UACGAAGGGUGCAAGCGUUACUCGGAAUUACUGGGCGUAAAGCGUGCGUAGGUGGUUUGUUAAGUCUGUUGUGAAAGCCCCGGGCUCAACCUGGGAAUGGCAAUGGAUACUGGCAAGCUAGAGUGCGGUAGAGGGUAGUGGAAUUCCCGGUGUAGCGGUGAAAUGCGUAGAGAUCGGGAGGAACACCAGUGGCGAAGGCGGCUACCUGGGAUGACACUGACGCUCAUACACGAAAGCGUGGGGAGCAAACAGG
rnacentral:rRNA from 1 species